AACGAACGCUGGCGGCAGGCUUGACACAUGCAAGUCGAACGCUCCGCAAGGAGAGUGGCAGACGGGUGAGUAACACGUGGGAACGUACCCUUUACUACGGAACAACUCCGGGAAACUGGAGCUAAUACCGUAUGUGCCCUUUGGGGGAAAGAUUUAUCGGUAAAGGAUCGGCCCGCGUUGGAUUAGCUAGUUGGUGGGGUAAAGGCCUACCAAGGCGACGAUCCAUAGCUGGUCUGAGAGGAUGAUCAGCCACAUUGGGACUGAGACACGGCCCAAACUCCUACGGGAGGCAGCAGUGGGGAAUAUUGGACAAUGGGCGCAAGCCUGAUCCAGCCAUGCCGCGUGUGUGAUGAAGGCCUUAGGGUUGUAAAGCACUUUCACCGGAGAAGAUAAUGACGGUAUCCGGAGAAGAAGCCCCGGCUAACUUCGUGCCAGCCGCCGCGGUAAUAC
rnacentral:rRNA from 1 species